AGUCAUAUGCUUGUCUCAAAGCUUAAGCCAUGCAAGUCUCAGUACAGACUAUAUUAAAGUGAAACCGCAAAAGGCUCAGUAAACCAGUUUUAAUUUACUAGAGUUAACUUGACUGUGCUUGGAUAACUGUGGUAAUUCUAGAGCUAAUACAUGCAACAAAGCCGUGACCAUUCGUGGUCAGGGCGCUUUUAUUAGACCAAGACCAAUCGCCCGGCCAGUCCGGGCGUUAAGUUGAGGAACCUAGAUAACACAGCAGAUCGCAUGGUCUUUGUACCGGCGACCUAUCUUUCAAAUGCCUGACUUAUCAACUGACGAUGGUAGACUCUGUGUCUACCAUGGCUGUUACGGGUAACGGGGAAUCAGGGUUCGAUUCCGGAGAGGGAGCCUGAGAAACGGCUACCACAUCCAAGGAAGGCAGCAGGCACGCAAAUUACCCACUCCCGGAACGGGGAGGUAGUGACAAAAAAUAACGAUACGGGACUCGAUAUGAGGCCUCGUAAUCGGAAUGAGUACACUCUAAAUCCUUUAACAAAAAUCUAUUGGAGGGCAAGUCUGGUGCCAGCAGCCGCGGUAAUUCCAGCUCCAAUAGCGUAUAUUAAAGUUGUUGCGGUUAAAAAGCUCGUAGUUGGUUCUGCGUCCCGCGCUGUCGGUACACCGUUUGUCGGUGACACUGGCAUGACGCGGGAUGUCCUGUCGGUGGCGGCGGAGACCAUAUCGCCGUCGGCUAACACCGCGGCGUGUUGGCCUUCUGUCGCCGGCUUUAUCCUACCGCGGUGCUCUUCACUGAGUGUCGAGGUAGGCCGACACGUUUACUUUGAACAAAUUAGAGUGCUUAAAGCAGGCAAAAAUCUCUGCCAGAAUAGUGGUGCAUGGAAUAAUGGAACAGGACCUUGGUUCUAUUCUGUUGGUCUCCGGAACACAAGGUAAUGAUCAAUGUGGACAGGCGGGGGCAUUCGUAUUGCGGCGUUAGAGGUGAAAUUCUUGGAUCGUCGCAAGACGCACUAGAGCGAAAGCAAUUGCCAAGUAUGUCUUAAUUGAUCAAGAACGAAAGUUAGAGGUUCGAAGGCGAUCAA
rnacentral:rRNA from 1 species